CAGUCGAGGGGCAGCAUGGUCUUAGCUUGCUAAGGCUGAUGGCGACCGGCGCACGGGUGAGUAACACGUAUCCAACCUGCCGUCUACUCUUGGCCAGCCUUCUGAAAGGAAGAUUAAUCCAGGAUGGGAUCAUGAGUUCACAUGUCCGCAUGAUUAAAGGUAUUUUCCGGUAGACGAUGGGGAUGCGUUCCAUUAGAUAGUAGGCGGGGUAACGGCCCACCUAGUCAGCGAUGGAUAGGGGUUCUGAGAGGAAGGUCCCCCACAUUGGAACUGAGACACGGUCCAAACUCCUACGGGAGGCAGCAGUGAGGAAUAUUGGUCAAUGGGCGAUGGCCUGAACCAGCCAAGUAGCGUGAAGGAUGACUGCCCUAUGGGUUGUAAACUUCUUUUAUAAAGGAAUAAAGUCGGGUAUGCAUACCCGUUUGCAUGUACUUUAUGAAUAAGGAUCGGCUAACUCCGUGCCAGCAGCCGCGGUAAUACGGAGGAUCCGAGCGUUAUCCGGAUUUAUUGGGUUUAAAGGGAGCGUAGAUGGAUGUUUAAGUCAGUUGUGAAAGUUUGCGGCUCAACCGUAAAAUUGCAGUUGAUACUGGAUGUCUUGAGUGCAGUUGAGGCAGGCGGAAUUCGUGGUGUAGCGGUGAAAUGCUUAGAUAUCACGAAGAACUCCGAUUGCGAAGGCAGCCUGCUAAGCUGCAACUGACAUUGAGGCUCGAAAGUGUGGGUAUCAAACAGGAUUAGAUACCCUGGUAGUCCACACGGUAAACGAUGAAUACUCGCUGUUUGCGAUAUACGGCAAGCGGCCAAGCGAAAGCGUUAAGUAUUCCACCUGGGGAGUA
rnacentral:rRNA from 1 species